UUAAAGACAUUGGCAGACAGCAAAAUGUUCACUGGUCAAAGGGCGGGACUGGGAUCAAGGAAAAGUGACUGCAGUUGCCGUCUAACCACUGUUCACUCGUCUCCUUUCUCUUCAUCGCUGACAACUGACUAGUCGGUGAUUGACUGCUGCAGGUGCACGUCACACCUGCUGUUGCCCACUGUCUACCUGGAUCGCACUUCUUGUACCUCAAAACAUUCAGUUCUAUCCAUUCAUCUUCUUGCCCCGUGAUGGCCCUCCAUACAAGCCUACUGGAUCGGUGGCCGAAGUGGUGGAAAUCAUCAUAAAAAAUAUGAAUUUCUGAUAUGACUACACUGUACCGCAGGAUGCGAAUUUCGGGUACAAGAUGGCGAACGGUUCUUGGACGGGGAUAAUCGGCACUCUUGAGCGGAAUUAUAAAAAAGCUGCGAGAGUCUGGCAUUCUGGAGCACCUUUUCAUGAAGUAUGUGGUGCACGCAAGUACCUGCCUUCGCUCACCCCCCACCAACGUAGACAACACACUCAGGCCGCUGGGGAUUUGAGACAUGUACGGCGUUUGUUUAGUCUACGUUGUAGGUGAGUGAAUAUUAUCAAGGUAAGGAAAGCUGAAUGACAUUUCACGAAGCAGUAGCAAUAGUGUGUGUGUGUGUGUGUGUGUGUGUGUGUGUGUGUGUGUGUGUGUGUGUGUGUGUGUGUGUGUGUGUGUGUGUGUGUGUGUGAUAAAAUGAAGUCAUGAUAUUUCCAUUUUUUUCCAGGAAUGACAAUUGCUGCUUUGAUUCUCUUGACGGAGAUGGCGGUGGCCUGGAUUGGAAAAUGAACGAUGUAACAAAACUCUGCCAUUGAGUAUCCCUGUCUAGAAAACACUACACUUGUCCUACGUUUAACCCCUUCAAUAUUGGGGCACAUUCUUACCUUGAGACUUAUGUACGACUAGAACAUUUUAUUGACAUUAGGAAGGGUCUAUGGUCAGAAGAUUAAUGGCCACAGUUUUCCCUAUUUCAAUCCCCCAAGUGAGUUUCUGAAGCUGUAUAAAUUCACUAAAUAGUAAGCAGAAUGGAUAUGGAAAUACGUCAUGGUACUCAAGGAGUUAAUUAUCAUUGUCAACGGAACUACCAAUGACCUGAAGACUGUAUGAACGUAUGUCGAUAUCACUCCCAUCAUUCUCUCUCUCUCUCUCUCUCUCUCUCUCUCUCUCUCUUGGUAAAAACAACUCUUGAUAAUGUAAAUAUAUUUUUCAUACAACUGGUAUUGACGAAAAGAAAAUGGAAAAAAUUCAAUCCCUCUUUAAGUCAAGGGAUGCAAGAAAAGGCAGUAAGUGAAAGAGGAGACGAGGAGGAACUAAAAUCAGAACUUAUGGAAUGCAAGAGAAAAUAAUAAGCAGAAGAGGCGAUGAUUAGAAAGCAGAGUAAAAAAAUCUGCAGAGAGAGAGAGAGAGAGAGAGAGAGAGAGAGAGAGAGAGAGAGAGAGAGAGAGAGAGAGAGAGAGAGAGAGAGAGAUUUUUCGUUUUAAUAGUAAUGCUUAUCAGUGUAGCACACCACGUGUUUCGUUUCAUCUUUUUUUCUAGCUAGAUAACUCAGCGACAUUUCUUAGAAGUGUUUUUUUUUUUUUCAUUUUAUUCCGAUAAUCACCACCAUCACUAUCCAAUCCUUUGAUACAAUCAGGGUCAAUGGCCGCCUCCUAACUUUCUCCAUUGAUCUCUAUCGAUUGCCCGUCCACCUCAGCUCCCUCUCGAAUGGAACACUGCCCUGAAACCAACAUCGUAGCACUAAACACACGUAUUGCUCGACAAAAAUACUUUCAGUUCACUCAGAUACAAUAUUAAAGGCUUUCCUUACUAUCCUUUUUUUUUUUAAUAUCAAGAAAUGGAACUUUAAAGAAAACUAAUAUUAAUAUCGUUAUUAUAGGACGCACAAUUCGCAAUCCAGUAGUACACUGAUGCUAUGUUGCUUGAUACUGCUGGUGUACAUCAUUAAAUGCUACAGCCUAUACGCCCAGUGACUGAUAUGCUAAUGCUACAGGAGAAGCUUUUGGCAUUACAGGCAGCCUACAUUAAACUACAAACGCAAAAUUUUCAAAUAAAAAAAAAAAUAAAUAAAUAAAUAAAUAAAAAAUAAAUAAAUAAAAUAAAAUGAGAAGAUAAUUUUCAAAGGAAGAUAUUGAUAUCAUUCAAUCUUAUUUUAAUCACCCGAAUGAAUGCUUGUUUCCAUCAAGCCUCUUCCGUCCCGCCAGUCAUCACUUUCAAGAAGUCGUGUAACUCUGCCUUUGUUUUCACCACUUCAGUUACAUUUAAUCUGAAAUCACACAGUCAAGUUAUUGGCGCAAUCAUAUCAAGUUAAUUAAUGCUUUUAUUUUCUCAUCAUACAACCUAUCGUAAUGAUUAGUUUGUAAUAAAUGGAGCAAACAUGUCAUCUGUAUCAGUUACCUUUGUCUUAGUCAAUGCAGUUAUUUCUUCUGACGUAUGUUUCCUUCCUGGAAGAUGCCCUUCUUAUUUCUUUGACGGGCCGGAGCAAGACUUGUGACGAGCUCGCGACAAGCAUCAACAUUGGGCCAUUGCUAGCGGACAGUGGCUCGGUGCCCACUGGUGCUUGCAAGGAUCACUGCUCGCACUUGCUCAUUCCGCUGACGCACAAUGAAAAAAGUUAUGAAUCUUCUGCAUAAUAUUAUUCUUUAUUCCAUCGAUGAGUCGCACUAGAUUUGCUGCGCGUUUUCCAUGAUCGUAGACGAUUCGUGCUAGUAUCGCACAGCAAUCACACAUUCAUGGCGCGUUUACAGGGCAUUCACUAACACCACGUUAGCAAAGCAUAAGUCAUAACCUAGCCACAGCUGAAUCGUCAUCAAAAUUUACCAAUUCAUAGUUCCUGCCAAUGUGAAUGUUUCUGUUGAGAUGUAAUAUAUGACUAAAUCACGAGUGGAACGCUAUUGUAAGUGAUGAUAAAACCUGAAGCACUCGAAAUUCAGACUAGAUGUAUGGAAACUUCGUUUCCAGUCUGCUCACACUAUAGCAAUAGCCUUUGCAAAAUUCUGCCUCCUUGAAAUUUUCUCGAUACUUCCUAAUCUUCUUAACCUGCGUGAGUUUGCUAACAAUACAAAAUGUCCAAAUGAUAGG